rnacentral:rRNA from 1 species
AUUGAACGCUGGCGGCAGGCCUAACACAUGCAAGUCGAGCGGAUGAAGGGAGCUUGCUCCUGGAUUCAGCGGCGGACGGGUGAGUAAUGCCUAGGAAUCUGCCUGGUAGUGGGGGAUAACGUCCGGAAACGGGCGCUAAUACCGCAUACGUCCUGAGGGAGAAAGUGGGGGAUCUUCGGACCUCACGCUAUCAGAUGAGCCUAGGUCGGAUUAGCUAGUUGGUGGGGUAAAGGCCUACCAAGGCGACGAUCCGUAACUGGUCUGAGAGGAUGAUCAGCCACACUGGAACUGAGACACGGUCCAGACUCCUACGGGAGGCAGCAGUGGGGAAUAUUGGACAAUGGGCGAAAGCCUGAUCCAGCCAUGCCGCGUGUGUGAAGAAGGUCUUCGGAUUGUAAAGCACUUUAAGUUGGGAGGAAGAGCAGUAAGUUAAUACCUUGCUGUUUUGACGUUACCAACAGAAUAAGCACCGGCUAACUUCGUG